AGUUUGAUCCUGGCUCAGGAUGAACGCUAGCUACAGGCUUAACACAUGCAAGUCGAGGGGAAACGACAUUGGAAGCUUGCUUCCGAUGGGCGUCGACCGGCGCACGGGUGAGUAACGCGUAUCCAACCUGCCCACCACUUGGGAAUAACCUUGCGAAAGUAAGACUAAUGCCCAAUGACGUUGAAAGAAGACAUCUGAUUUCAACUAAAGAUUCAUCGGUGAUGGAUGGGGAUGCGUCCGAUUAGCUUGUUGGCGGGGUAACGGCCCACCAAGGCAACGAUCGGUAGGGGUUCUGAGAGGAAGGUCCCCCACAUUGGAACUGAGACACGGUCCAAACUCCUACGGGAGGCAGCAGUGAGGAAUAUUGGUCAAUGGGCGAGAGCCUGAACCAGCCAAGUAGCGUGCAGGAUGACGGCCCUAUGGGUUGUAAACUGCUUUUAUAAGGGAAUAAAGUGGGGCUCGUGAGCUCCUUUGCAUGUACCUUAUGAAUAAGGACCGGCUAAUUCCGUGCCAGCAGCCGCGGUAAUACGGAAGGUCCGGGCGUUAUCCGGAUUUAUUGGGUUUAAAGGGAGCGUAGGCCGCAGGUUAAGCGUGUUGUGAAAUGUAGGGGCUCAACCUCUGCACUGCAGCGCGAACUGGCUUGCUUGAGUACGCACAACGUGGGCGGAAUUCGUGGUGUAGCGGUGAAAUGCUUAGAUAUCACGAAGAACUCCGAUUGCGAAGGCAGCUCACGGGAGCGCAACUGACGCUGAAGCUCGAAAGUGCGGGUAUCGAACAGGAUUAGAUACCCUGGUAGUCCGCACGGUAAACGAUGGAUGCCCGCUGUUGGCUUGAAUUAGUCAGCGGCCAAGCGAAAGCAUUAAGCAUCCCACCUGGGGAGUACGCCGGCAACGGUGAAACUCAAAGGAAUUGACGGAAGGGCG
rnacentral:rRNA from 1 species